GGGUGCGUGGCGCAAUGGCUAGCGUGUUUGGCUUCGAUGCCCUGUACGUAAUCCGACCAAAAGGCUGCAGGUUCGAGUCCUGCCGUGCUCA